CUCUGACUCACUAAGCAUACACAGGGGCCUACUGUGGUGGGAACUAAGCCCCUAAACAUCGAGAAAAUAAGCAAGUGCGGAAUCCAUACAAGGGCAGGACCAGAGAAGUGAGCAGUUGAAUAGACUCUUCUGGCUUUGAAAGAGAAGUCUGACCUAUUGUCAAUUGUCUAAGCAAAAACACCAUGGGAGAGAAUUGAGGACUGCAUUUAGGAGCAUUUCCAAGCCGUUUUCACAUUCUGUAAACAUCAGUUGACCAGAUACUGGCUGAACUCACAGCACAGUAAGAUGUAGGAUCCUACGGGAAGUCAAUGGAUGCUGGACCUGGCCCAACUCCGGGAGGAAGCAGGUUUCAGUGUCUCUGGUUUUAUGUGGAGGUCUUUGAUCCACUUGGACUUGAGCUUUGUACAAGGAGAUAAGAUCAAAAACUCAGGUGACAGCAGAUGCUGGUGAGGAUGUGGGAAAAGAGGAACACUCCUCCAUUGCUGGUGGGAUUGCAAGCUGGUACAAUCACUCUGGAAAUCAGUUUGGCUGAAAAUUGGACAUAGUACUACCAGAAGAUAUAGCAAUACCACUCCUGGGCAUAUACCCAGAAGAUGCUCCAACAUUUAGUAAGGACACAUGCUCCACUAUGUUCAUAGCAGCCUUAUUUAUAAUAGCCAGAAGCCGAAAAGAACCCAGAUGUCCCUCAACAGAGGAAUGGAUACAGAAAAUGUGGUACAUUUACACAAUGGAGUACUAUACAGCUAUUAAAAACAAUGAAUUUCUAAAAUUCUUAGGCAAAUGGAUGAUCUGGAGGAUAUCAUCCUGAGUGAGGUAACCCAAUCACAAAAGAACACACAUGAUAUGCACUCACUGAUAAGUGGAUAUUAGCCCAGAAGCUAGGAGUACCCAAAAUACAGUUGCAGAACACAUGAAGCUCAAGAAGAAGGAAGACCAAAGUGUGAAUACUUCGAGCCUUCUUAGAAGGGGGAGCAAAAUACACAUGGAAGGAAUUACAGAGACAAAAUGUGGAACAGAUACUGAAGGAAUGACCAUCCAGAGACUGCCCCACCUGGGGAUCUGUCCCAUAUACAGUUACUAAACCCAGACACUAUUUUGGAUGCCAACAAGAGCUUGCUGACAGGAGCCUGAUAUAGCUGUCUCCUGAGAGGCUCUGCCUGUGCCUGAAAAAUACAGAAGUGGGUGCUCACAACCAUCCAUUGGAUGUAACACAGGGUCCCCAAUGAUGAAGCUAGAGAAAGGACCCAAGAAGCUGAAGGUGUUUGCAGCCCCAUAGGAGGAACAACAAUAUCAACUAACCAGUACCCCAGAGCUCCCUGGGACUACACCACCAACCAAAGAAAACAUAUGGUGGGGCUCAUGGCUCUAGCUGCAUAUGUAGCAGAGGAUGUAUAUGCAGCCUAGUUGGUCAUCAAUGGGAGGAGAGGCCCUUGGUCCUGUGAAGGUUUCAUGCCCCAGUAUAGGGGAAUGCCAAGCCAAUAAGCAGGAGUGGUGGGUUCAGCGGGAGAGGGGAGGAAAUAGGUGGGUUUUCUUUUUUUGGGGGGGGGACCAAGAAAGGGGAUAACAUUUGAAAUGUAAAUAAAGAAAAUAUCAAAAGAAGAAGAAGAAGAAGAAGAGGAAGAGGAAGAGGAAGAAGAAAGAAGAAGAAGAAGAAGAAGAAGAAGAAGAAGAAGAAGAAGAAGAAGAAGAAGAAGAAGAAGAAGAGGAAGAAGAGGAAGAAGAGGAAGAAGAAGAGGAAGAAGAAGAAGAAGAAGAAGAAGAAGAAGAAGAAGAAGAAGAAGAAGAAGAAGAAGAAGAAGAAGAAGAAGAAAGAACCAAAGAGUAGAUAUACCAGGAACCUGGGAUAAAACUAAAAAUAUUGAUCUAAAAAAAAACAAGAAAAAAAUUCAGUGGUAAAAUGACUACUGAUGAUAUUCUGCUACACUCAUGAAUCGUCAUCAAAGAAUAUUCCUCCUGCCACAGAGGGGAACAAACACAAAAACCCACAGCCAGACAUUAUGCAGAGAGUGAGACACAUUGGAACACAGUCCUAAAUUGUAGUGAGAAUUUUAGUUUCUUAAAAAAACCCAGUUAUGUUACAUGAAUGUUUUUAAUCCCUGGUGUGAGAUAAGAGGAUGCUUCAUAGCAGGUGAUUAUGAUAUGUCUCAUGCACUACCAGGGGUGUGAUUUUUGCCAGUUGCAGAUAGUUUAAUUCUGGGGACAUUUGAGAGGGUAUAAAUGCCAGAGCCACAAGAUGGGUCGAGCAGGGGCACUCUGUGGCAGCUGCUGUUCCUGGGUGUUGUUGUUGAAGUUUGAGCAGCAGAAAUAAUUGUAUACCAUAAAAUACCACUCCCCAUAGUGCCAAAACUAAAUGGAUGUGUCCAUCAAAUCCCCCCCUCAGAGUUCAGGGAAUCUCACAGAAGAGGAGGCUGAGAGAAUGUAAGAACCAGAGGGGAUGGAGGACACCAAGAAAACAAGGCCCUUUGAAUUAACAUGAACAAAUCUCACAGAGACUGAAGCAGCAUGAACAGAGCCUGCAGGUCUUCUGCAUAAAUAUCAUGGCUUCUAGUUUAGUAUUUUUAGUAGGAUUCCUGGGUACAAAUGAAUGGGUUUCUGAUUCUUGUGCCUUCUUUUGUCUUUUUUUUUUUCUUUUUGUUCAUUUGUCUUUCCAAUACUAGUGUGAUAGUUUUUGUUUUAUCUUAUUGGAUUUCAUUUUGCUAUAUUUUAUUAUCACCUCUUAGAGACAGAAAGGGAGUGGAUACAGAUAGCAGGGGAAAUGGGGAGGAACUGGAAGAAGUAGAGGGAGGGAACGCUGUAAUCAGAAUAAGUUAUAUAAGAAAAGAAUCAAUUUCCAAUAAUGGUAAAUAAAAUAAAAUAGAGCUAAGAAUAUUGUAUGAUUGAAAAAUUCAUAUUUAAAUGACAAUUUUCUUGUGCCUUUAGUGAUAAAAUUGAGAUGUUAUAUGACAUCUUCUGUGAUGAUAAUUUAUUACAUGUGAUCACAUUAAAGUAUUUCAACAUGACAUAAAAUAAUGAUGAGUUUCUGGAUCUAAAUAUUGCUUAAAAUACUUUUUGACAGUUCAAUUGCUACUGCCUCAAAAGAGGGGCACUUUUAUGAAUUAGAGUUAAUUAAAAAUACUAAGGAUUAAAACAAUUCAAGAAAACUUCUUUUAGUUUGGAUUUUCUGUCAGCAGAGAGCAGAUUAUGUGAAACUCUUUUAAACAUUAAGGACAUAAUGAAAUAAAGAGAAAAUGAAAUGAGAAAAAAAU
rnacentral:lncRNA from 1 species